GCCUUCAUGGUGCAACGGUAGCACACUUGGCUCGUAUUCGAGAGGUCCAAGUUCGAUCCUGGAGAGAGCA
rnacentral:tRNA from 1 species